rnacentral:rRNA from 1 species
GACGAACGCUGGCGGCGUGCUUAACACAUGCAAGUCGAACGGAAAGGCCCUGCUUUUGUGGGGUGCUCGAGUGGCGAACGGGUGAGUAACACGUGAGUAACCUGCCCUUGACUUUGGGAUAACUUCAGGAAACUGGGGCUAAUACCGGAUAGGAUCUCCUGCUGCAUGGUGGGGGUUGGAAAGUUUCGGCGGUUGGGGAUGGACUCGCGGCUUAUCAGCUUGUUGGUGGGGUAGUGGCUUACCAAGGCUUUGAAGGGUAGCCGGCCUGGGAGGGGGACCGGCCACAUUGGGACUGAGAUACGGCCCAGACUCCUACGGGAGGCAGCAGUGGGGAAUAUUGCACAGUGGGCGGAAGCCUGAUGCAGCAACGCCGCGUGCGGGAUGACGGCCUUCGGGUUGUAAACCGCUUUCGCCUUUGACGAAGCGUGAGUGACGGUAAUGGGUAAAGAAGCACCGGCUAACUACGUG